AUUGAACGCUGGCGGCAGGCCUAACACAUGCAAGUCGAACGAGUGGCGGACGGGUGAGUAAUGUCUGGGAAACUGCCUGAUGGAGGGGGAUAAAUACUGGAAACGGUAGCUAAUACCGCAUACCAUCGGAUGUGCCCAGAUGGGAUUAGCUAGUAGGUGGGGUAAAGGCUCACCUAGGCGCCGAUCCCUAGCUGGUCUGUGAGGAUGACCAGUCACACUGGAACUGAGACACGGUCCAGCAUCAUACGGCAGGCAGCAGUGGGGAAUAGUGCACAAUGGGCGCAAGCCUGAUGCAGCCAGGCCGCGUGUUUGAUGAAGGCCUUCGGGUUGUAAAGCACUUUCAGCGGGGAGGCGUUACCCGCAGAAGAAGCACCGGCUAACUCCGUGCCAGCAGCCGCGGUAAUAC
rnacentral:rRNA from 1 species